UACGUAGGGCGCAAGCGUUAUCCGGAAUUAUUGGGCGUAAAGAGCUCGUAGGCGGUUUGUCGCGUCUGCCGUGAAAGUCCGGGGCUCAACUCCGGAUCUGCGGUGGGUACGGGCAGACUAGAGUGAUGUAGGGAGACUGGAAUUCCUGGUGUAGCGGUGAAAUGCGCAGAUAUCAGGAGGAACACCGAUGGCGAAGGCAGGUCUCUGGGCAUUAACUGACGCUGAGGAGCGAAGCAU
rnacentral:rRNA from 1 species